rnacentral:rRNA from 1 species
UACGUAGGUGGCAAGCGUUGUCCGGAUUUACUGGGCGUAAAGAGCGCGCAGGCGGCUGGGCAAGUCCGAUGUGAAAGCUUCCGGCUUAACUGGAAAAUUGCAUCGGAAACUGCUCGGCUUGAAGGUGGGAGAGGGUAGCGGAAUUCCCGGUGUAGUGGUGAAAUGCGUAGAUAUCCGGAGGAACACCGGUGGCGAAGGCGGCUUCCUGGACCGACACUGACGCUGAGGCGCGAAAGCUAGGGGAGCAAACGGG